rnacentral:rRNA from 1 species
CUCCGCCGGCGACCGGCGCACGGGUGAGUAACACGUAUGCAACCUGCCCCUGUCAGGGGGACAACCGCCGAAAGGCGGGCUAAACCCGCGUACAUGCCACCGGGGCAUCCCGGAGGCAGGAAAGGCUUCGGCCGGACAGGGAUGGGCAUGCGGCGCAUUAGGCAGUAGGCGGGGUAACGGCCCACCUAACCGACGAUGCGUAGGGGUUCUGAGAGGAAGGUCCCCCACACUGGUACUGAGACACGGACCAGACUCCUACGGAAGGCAGCAG